rnacentral:tRNA from 2 species
CGGAGUGUGGCUCAGCUUGGUAGAGCACUGCCUUCGGGAGGCAGGGGUCGGAGGUUCAAAUCCUCUCACUCCGACCA